UGCAUGCACUACUCCGUGCCUGCCCUUGUCUGACUGCAAGGGACCAGGGGCAGGAUAACAAAAGAAAGUAUAAAUAGAGUCUUUUUAAAAGCCUGUUAAAUAGAAAUAGACUUCUAGGGAGGAGAGAGAAAGAAUGAGGCGUGUUACCAUAGUAACUGCCAAUGGUUUAUUUAAGAAGGGCAAAGAAACAAACACCACAAAAAGGCGAAGUCAAGAGGAGUUGAAGAUUGCUGAAGGAAUCUGUCAGGAUACGGACACAGAGGGGCCAGAGCAUAACAAAAGGACAGCCAAUAGCCCAGGAGCCCUGUUAAAAAAUUCUUAAGGGAUGUUGGCAUGAAAUUCUGACUCUAGUGAAUAUCCCAUGGUGGACAUUUGAAAGUAAAAGACAGCUGCUUUUAGAGCACGAGACACGUGCUCCAUGCUCUCUCAUGUAUGUUCUCUCAGAUAUGGGCGCUGAAGAUAUCCU